rnacentral:rRNA from 1 species
AGAGUUUGAUCCUGGCUCAGGAUAAACGCUGGCGGCGCACAUAAGACAUGCAAGUCGAACGGACUUAACCUUUAGUUUACUAAUGGAGCGGUUAGUGGCGGACUGGUGAGUAACGCGUGAGGAACCUGCCUUCCAGAGGGGGACAACAGUUGGAAACGACUGCUAAUACCGCAUGAUAUAUUUGAGGGGCAUCCCUUGGAUAUCAAAGAUUUAUCGCUGGAAGAUGGCCUCGCGUCUGAUUAGCUAGUAGGCGGGGUAACGGCCCACCUAGGCGACGAUCAGUAGCCGG